rnacentral:lncRNA from 1 species
GGCCAAAGGUGUCCAAACUAUACAGACCCACAGAAUCUAACAACAGAUGUCUCAAUAUUCCUCGUCCUAGAACUCUCAGAGGAUCCAGAACUACAGCCGGUCCUCGCUGGGCUGUUCCUGUCCAUGUGCCUGGUCAUGGUGCUGGGGAACCUGCUCAUCAUCCUGGCCGUCAGCCCUGACUCCCACCUCCACACCCCCAUGUACUUCUUCCUCUCCAACCUGUCCUUGCCUGACAUCGGUUUCACCUCCACCAUGGUCCCCAAGAUGA